CCGCGGGAUUAGAGUUUGAUCCUGGCUCAGGAUGAACGCUGGCGGCGUGCUUAACACAUGCAAGUCGAACGGUGAUGGAGAGCUUGCUCUUCGGAUCAGUGGCGAACGGGUGAGUAACACGUGAGCAAUCUGCCCCUGACUCUGGGAUAAGCGCUGGAAACGGCGUCUAAUACUGGAUAUGAGCUGCGAUCGCAUGGUCAGCAGUUGGAAAGAACUUCGGUCAGGGAUGAGCUCGCGGCCUAUCAGCUUGUUGGUGAGGUAAUGGCUCACCAAGGCGUCGACGGGUAGCCGGCCUGAGAGGGUGACCGGCCACACUGGGACUGAGACACGGCCCAGACUCCUACGGGAGGCAGCAGUGGGGAAUAUUGCACAAUGGGCGCAAGCCUGAUGCAGCAACGCCGCGUGAGGGACGACGGCCUUCGGGUUGUAAACCUCUUUUAGCAGGGAAGAAGCGAAAGUGACGGUACCUGCAGAAAAAGCACCGGCUAACUACGUGCCAGCAGCCGCGGUAAUACGUAGGGUGCAAGCGUUAUCCGGAAUUAUUGGGCGUAAAGAGCUCGUAGGCGGUUUGUCGCGUCUGCUGUGAAAACCCGAGGCUCAACCUCGGGCCUGCAGUGGGUACGGGCAGACUAGAGUGCGGUAGGGGAGAUUGGAAUUCCUGGUGUAGCGGUGGAAUGCGCAGAUAUCAGGAGGAACACCGAUGGCGAAGGCAGAUCUCUGGGCCGUAACUGACGCUGAGGAGCGAAAGGGUGGGGAGCAAACAGGCUUAGAUACCCUGGUAGUCCACCCCGUAAACGUUGGGAACUAGUUGUGGGGUCCAUUCCACGGAUUCCGUGACGCAGCUAACGCAUUAAG
rnacentral:rRNA from 1 species